GGAGGGGUUCCCGAGUGGUUAAAGGGAUCAGACUGUAAAUCUGACGGCUGUGCCUUCGUAGGUUCGAAUCCUACCCCCUCCA
rnacentral:tRNA from 1 species